GGAGUUUAGCAGGUGUGAGGCAGUGGGCUAAAUUAUUGACAUUUUAAAAAAUCUCACUUCACCCCCCCCAACGAUUCCUGGGGGAAGGUGAAUGAUGCACUUACAGGUGCCAUUAUCGUUCCCUUUUACAGAUAAGAAAACAGUUCACAAAGAGGAAUGAUUUGCCCGAUAUCACCCAGCAGAUGUGUGGCAGAAAAACCCGCUGGAUGCGUGGCAGAAAAACCCGCCUUUGAACUCCGGCCCUAAGAGAGGACAGGGCCAGGCUGCAGAGCUGUGCCUCACGCCCUCCUUUCCCUCCCACAAGGACUGGUUACAAAGACCCCGUCAACACCUAAGUCCACGCCGUAUCGUGCACCCCUCAGUCACCCCCUGUCCCAGAAGGUAACCUCCUGGGCCUUCCUGUUGAUGGAAAUUCAGACACCAACAUCCCUGAAUAUUCCCUUGACCCUUCUUCCUGCCAUUGGGGUUAUUUUGUUUUCCUGGUUCAUCGGCAAGAAAUCUGCAAGAAACUGGCUGGGUUGGCAAAGGCUCUGGGCUAACUUGGAGGCCGCUAUGCUGUGUAUGCUGGGGUGGGUGCUGGGGGCCUGGCGGGCAGGGGAGGGCAGAGGCUCGCAUGCCGGGGCACCUCAAGGCCCAAAGUCAAUGCAGUGUUUCCUUGGUAAAGUGCCCUCCUGGCCUGCACCUGCUUACAAUUCAACGCAGUGCCCUGAGGGUACAUUGCAGCCUCCUUUGGCUGAAAGAAGCAGCCUUUUGUGAUCUAUCCUCUGCCUUUGUAGCCUUCUUUCCCACCACUGGAUCCCCUCCAAAAAGAACGUGCUUUGCCCUGCUUCCAGGCCUUUGGCCCUGCUGUGCCCUCCUCCUGGACCACCUUUCCUCCAUGGUUCUCUUACCACGUGCUUCUUCUCCUGGUACUUCAGGACUCCUACACUGUGAGGCCCUCCCAGAAUCCCCCCAGCCCCCUACUUGGGGUUGCCACUGCGACAGAGGGACAUUGCUUCCAGAACUACGUUGUACUCUAGACUACAAAGCCCAGCUGGUGAGCUGACACCUCCAUGUAGGUUUCACGCAGGCCCCUAACUUCACAAAGCGGAAUACUCCAUUUAUUUCCCUCCUGAAACCCCAGCCCUGCCCACCUGUCUUCCCAGCUCAGGAAACAGUGCUGCCCUGUUCAGACCAGGUCCUGGUGGCCCCUUGGUUCCUGUUUCCCUCACCCCACACAUCCCAAAUCUUGCUGACUUGACUGCCAAAUACAUCCCAAAUCCAUGCCCUUGUUGCCACUUUCACAGCUACCACCGAGGUGCAGGCUUGCCACUGUCCUUGCCCACCUGAACCGUGGCAGUGAGCUCCUCCUCCCUGGUCUCCUGGCUUCCAGCUUUGCUCCACUCAAUCCACACAGUCAGAGGAAAUAUUUCAA
rnacentral:lncRNA from 1 species